CCCCCCCCCCCGAGCACUUCUCUUCCCCACUUCUUAACAUCCCCUAGCUUUCUGACCCACCCUGCUGACACACAUGUACACACGCACGGCUCUCACACACCUCAUUAGCUCUGUGUAAUUAGUCGGGUCUGGAAAGCAGCGAUUUAAUACUGCGUCUGUAUUACUUGGACUUUGCAGUCAAUGAAGCGGGUUUUCAUUGUUCCCCAAGCGCAGAUGGGACCCGAAAGAUUGAUUCGGAGGCAAAGCUAGUUUGAUAAUGCAAGGCCAAUAGCUUAUGUUGUGAAGGACUCUAAUGAGACCAGGUAUACUGGACAGUCCCCGGGAGAAGAUAGAUAAAAAGAUGGAAAAUGCUUGCCAUUUGCCAAGAUGUCAGGUUUGCAGGGGGAGAAUGAGCAAAUGCAAGUCUCUGAAAUCAGAAAAAGAGGUGCCCUGCUCCCUACAAGUGUCUGUGUUUGGUCAAAGCAACAUGAAAACAACGAUUAACCAUUAAUGGGACCAAGUUUUGGAUAAAACAUGUGGGUUGCUUGAGAAAUGUAAAGGUUAUAAAACUCCUGAUCUGACUGGA